GACCAUCAACAUGAACCGCUGGAGUGGCGGGUUGAUGUCAAGAUCUAAUCACUAGACUAGAGAGGGGCCAACCAAAUUGCGACAGUUCUUAAGGCCAAGUUAAGGAGUCUGGACUUAGCAUGGAAGAGGACCCAAUGCAAAAUGAGAAUUCAGGGUUCCUUGUUCAAAAAUUCUUAAGAGUUUCAAGACAGUGCAGCAGAGCAUUAAACCAAGUGCAGAGACUUCCUGAGCACAGGGCCUCGUGUGACUGUCCCGCUGAUACGCCCGUGAAGACCACGCUCCGUGACUGCUGGAAGGAGGAAACAGAACACCUGGGAGAGCACCCAGGAGGCCCACAACCCAUGUGACUGUCCUCUGAGCUCCGCGCCCGGAUUAGCAGGUGGUGGGAGAAACAAAGAACACUCAGGAAGACCAGGAGGAGUAUGAAGCAUCCUUCUCACCAGCCUCCGUUAUUUUUUGUUCCUCCGCACCCAUCCUCUGUCUUCCUUAACACCCACCACGUGGUGUGGGGUCUGUCCUCCCCGGACCAUCCGGGUGUGGCGGUGGACAGGGUGAGGGAUGGGAGGGCUCCACACCAGCUGAGCAACUGCAGCUCUCACAGAAGAUGCGCUCAGAUGUGGUGCUGAGAAAACAACCCUGCUUCCUGCAGAGACUUCAAAAGCCCACACCCCGUCUACCGCUGCACAUUUUUGCAGCUGAAGGAGAAACUGCUGGAAAUAAGAGUUUCCCUGAUGUCAUUGGGAUGAGGCCGGCUGUGUUCUCCCGGAGACAUCAGGGAGUUGGCUCAGGAAGGGCUGGGUGGGAAGUGAUGCAACUUUGGACAAAGGUUCUGGGCUCUUCGCAAAGGGAGGUCAGGUGGGGCCCCUGGGUUCUGAGUUGGCUGACUCUUCACCUGCACUUAAGAGCAAUAGAAAGUUUUAGUCCUAAGAGCAGAGGGUAUGGAGAGUAGAGAUUCAGAGAAAGGGCCGAGCAGGGCAGGUAGAGCCGUGCAAGGACCUCUGAAAUCUUCCUUUCUCCUCUCUUCCUACCCUUUUCCAUCUAAAAAGAAGAAAAUAUUCAUCCUACGUCAGUCAUCUGGUGCUUCUAAUUACCAAUUUUAUUCAGUUCUUCUAGGUUAUGUUAUCAUCCCAAGCGAAAUCCUUUAAAGAUGCCUGGAACACUGGAAGGACCCAGGGUUCCUUGGAGAAAUAGCUGAUUUCUGAUUAGAGCAGGAAAUGUUCAAGAUGAGCCUCUGGGAUUGUGCCAGAAAGAGGAAAACUAUCAAAAACUGGCCCAGGAGCCAGCUGGAGAGUCCUACUGACCAACAAUGGGAAAUUUUUAGCAUCAGAAAGAAUAAUGACUGCAAUGUAUUGAAAGGCAGCAAAUACAGAAAACUGUGAGUUCAUAAUGAUAAAAAGAGAGCCCUUUAUUGGUCACCAUUAGAGGUUUGAGUAACAACUCAUAUCUCUGAAAAUUGAUAGAAUAAGCACAUAUCCUCCCUUUUCUGCAUGAACUAUAUAUUUCAGAGCAACCAAAGAGCUGGUAAGGUAAAGGUCAUCCUUAUGUAAGAAUUCUCCCUUAUAAAUGCAGAAGGAAUAAUAGAAUUAGAAAAUCAUGAAUUUUGUAACCUCUAGUAGAAUGAUGGGUUUAGAAAUGAUCAUCAAUGGAUGCUAAAACUAUCUGGUGAAAGGCUGACAUGGAAUUUUAAAAUGGGAAACCCACAGCAACACCUACAAAGUGUUCUGCUCACAUAAAAAAUUUAAAACUGAAUCUAAACAAGCCUCUAGAUGUGCCCUAUCCAAUAUGGCAUCCACAUACAUCCCCGGAACACUUGAAAUGGAGCUGUUCUGAAUUGAGAUGUGCUGUUAGUAUACAAUACACACCCAAUUCUGAAGAUGCAAUAUAAAAAAGAAUAUAAAAUAUCUCAUUUAUAAUUUUUUGUAUUAAUCACAUUUUGAAAUGAUAGCAUUUUGGCUAUUUCACAUUAAAUAAAUAUA